AUAAUUUAAAAUUAAAUUUAAUAAGUUUUGGUCAUAAGAACACUAAAACAACAAAACAGUUUUUUUCAAGCUAUUUUUUUAAAUAAAAUCUAAAAUGGUACUUUUAUUCAGAAAAACAAUUUUGGCCUCUCAAACUCAAUGCCAAACAGACACUUAGUACCCACGAGCAGGCUAUUGUCAUUAUCAAAUAUCUAUACAUUAUGUACCUUAAUGGUUAUGCCAUCUAAUUAUGUAAUACAUUGUGAAAACAGAGAUGAAUGCUUCAAUAGAUCUCCUUUUCUUAUAUCAUAACUGGAACAAAACUGGCACAAUAAUAAAAUGGAUCUCCUUCUGUAAAGUUACUUGAAAAUUUUCAACUUCUAAUAUGUUGGGAAAUUUGGAUCUACGUCAUUGGCCCAGGCCUCCAAGCCCCCAAUGAUAUCCCUGGCUGAACUAAAGCCCUUCUCGUGUAAUAAUUGAACAGCCCUCUGUGAAUCAUUACCUCUUCUACAGACAACAUAUAGGCUCACACCCGACUCUGUUUCAAUACCCCUGCGCUCUCCCUCUCCCUUCAAAGCUGAUGAGAUUUCAGGCAACCUAGCCUCCAAACUUGAUAGCGGGAUGUUCAAGGCAUUGGGAAGAGAAACAAUCUUAAAGUGGUGGGCAGGGCGUACAUCUACCAACACAUGUGCUUCCCCUUUAACAAGUUUCUCCUUGAACUCUCUACUGUUUAUUCUGGAAUCUGCUGGAAGCAGGUUCAAUUUCAAUGGAGCCGUUGCCAAAGGAGACUGUGUGAAGUUCUCAUAAUCAAAAUCUUUAAAUUGCUUUUGGGUGAACACUAAAUUUUCUCCACAAACUUCACAUUGUAAUGACCUGCCUCUAAUUUUGACAAUACGAAUUCGUGCUGACAAUGCAUCAAAUAGAAGCAUCCGUCCUGACAGUGGUUCACCUACAGCACUUGCAAUUUUAAUGGCCUCAAGUGCUUGGAGACAACCAAUGAUACCAGGCACUGCAAUACAAAUUAAUCAAUAGAGAGAAGUACAGAUGUUCAAUUGUGUGGCACAGUAUGGUUAUCUUCAGCAGUUCAAUCAACAGAACAGUAUAGAACAUGAGAAAGCAAGAAAAUAAAAAAUGCAUAGAUCUUUAACACAUACAGAAUUUCCCAAUCAUAAAAGUAGGCACAGAUGCAUAGUAACGCACUAAAAAUUGAAAAGAAACCUUUCAGAUUGCUCUUUGUCAAACUUGGAUAGCAAUCAAAAUUAAGAUUUCCCUCAAAACUAGCAUUCAUAAUUUGCACAAAGAUGUAAUAUUAUGCAAGUAAUCAGAAACUGGCUAAGUCACAGGACUUUGUUGACGUACCAACUCCAAGAACUCCACUGUCAGCACAUCUUUGGCAUGCCGUUGUAGGAGGUGGGGUUGGAAAAAGGCAUCGAUAGCAUGGACCUCCUUUGUAAUUGUAGACAGUGAGCUAGGCAAUAAAUUCGAUAGAAUUAGAACUAGAGUUUGCACAGCAUAUUAAGAUGCAGAAGAAUGUAUAAGUGAAUCCUCAAAGGUUUCCUAUGUGCCCCAGUAAACAGAACAUGAAAGAUGGCAUACCUGCCCUUCCAACCCCAAUGCAGCACCUGAUACAAGAGGCUGCAUGUACACGAGUAGGAAUUGAUUAAUAAUUGAAACAAAAAAAAAGCACCAAUAUUACAAUCUCCUUUCAAGCUAAGUUGUCAACAAACAUGAGUCAGAACUUAGAAUAAAAUCUUGUGCAGUGUUAACUCUCUGUAAUGCACAAAAACUGGCAACAUAAAUACAAACAAGUAGAACACCAUUAAGCCUCAUUAUCACUCACAAUUGACAUUCAGUUAUGAUUGUUAACUGUCCACUAAGGGAAUUACAGAGACUGAAAAACAACAUUAACACGAGUUAAAAAUAAAUGAAUCAAGUCCAAAUUAUUCCUGGUAUUUAUAAGAUUAUCUUUACAUUAAGUUCAACUGGUACUUGCAGAUCAUUUAAACAAUAACUUUAAGGUAACAAUUUACCUUCCUCAACAGCACACAACAAUCACUGAUCAUGUAACGGCUGGGAGCAUUAUCUGUUGCAUCUACAAUUAUGUCAUAUUGGCUAAAAAUUUCCAAGGCAUUGUAUGUACGCAGAGCUUCUUGGUGUUCCACAAUCUGAAUGGAGGAGUUGAUCAAGCGACAGGCAGCAGCGGCAGAUUUCACUUUUGGCUGACCAAUAAAAGCUUCAGUAUGUAUAACCUGCCUGUGCAUAUUAUUUAACUCAACAACAUCAUGGUCAACAAUACCCAACCGCCCAACACCUGAAGCUGCCAGAUAUAACAGAGCAGGCGAGCCCAACCCUCCAGCUCCAACAACUAAAAUAGAAGACUUUAAGAGAUUCGACUGCCCUUGAACUCCAAAGGAAGGGAGCAAGAGAUGACGACUGUAACGGUAAAUCAUAUCAGGCGAUAAAUCAUGGCUGAACCCAGAAUGAGGGUUGGAAAUUGAAAGACGAGAACCAUUAGAGGAGACGGUGUCAUUUAGGAGAUUCAAGUGAGGAAGCUGAGCUUCGAGAGACGCAAUCUGAUUCUCUAUGUCAGUCUUAGAAGCCUUCAAGAUUUGAAUUUGGGCGAGGAUUCGAGCUGCUUCACCUCCAUUUGACUCCAUCUGAAUUGGUUGCUUGGUUUUGUUUUUGCAGAAAAUGAGGGUUAGAGUAACGAGAAGAAUAACAGUCAACAUAGAAACCCUUUGGGUUUUAGAGUUUUUUAUAAUAAUAUUCCUAAAAUUAUUAUUUUUUUAAAUUUAGUGUCCGUUUGAAGCUAUAGUUGAAGUGCAAAAACUGUUAUUUUCUAAAAUUUUAUUAAUUUAAUUUUAAAUUGUAUUUUUAAUAUUAUCUAAUUAAUAUAUUUAAAAAAAUAAAUUUUUUAAUAGUAAACGGGCCUGGAAAAGGGUGAUCUAAUAAGGGUCGAAAUCCAACUCAAACAAAAAUAAUCAAACCACAGCCAAAACAGAGCCUAGAGAUGAACUCGACCCACACAUGAGUCCAGAGAGGAACUCCAAAAACUUUCAUGGGAAGGAGCUUCCAACAAUCUUCACUGCAAAUCCACCAGAGAGUUUUGUCGGCAACCAAAACGGAAAUACCCCAUAGAUGCAAAUCUAAAGCCACUAACACCACUUUAUAGUAGAACAAGAGCCAAAGCACCAAGCCCAGUUGAAGCCAAACGUAGAAGUAUUCACAUAGCAAAGCUCGAGAAACCAAAGAGAAGCACUCUAUUAGCUUCAUUUUCAUCUCCUUUGCUGCCUAAGAAGACAAUGAACCAAACCCAAAAUCGAGCAAGCUGCACUGGAAACAACACAGAGGUAUUACCAAUAAAGACAACAGAGCCAUACACUAAGUGAGAGGGCACUGGACAAUACCGGAUCCUACCUCCAACAAUACUUGUAAGCCCCAGUUAGAUAUACCAUCUUCGGGCACCAUACAAACCUCCAUCCUCUGCUCCAACUAAGACCAACAUCAAAGCUAAUCAUCAUAGAUCUACAACUCAUCAAAAGCAUUAGAUUUGGAGAAAAAGCCAAAAAUAUAUACACCCCAUUCGAAGGUGGGGAGGGACUACCCAUACUCCAGGAUA
rnacentral:misc_RNA from 1 species